GUGUACAAGGAGCAGGGACGUAUUCGCCGCGCGCUACUGACACGCGACUACUACCGAAUCCAGCUUCAUGAGGGCGGGUUGCAGCCCUCAAUCCGAACUACGACCGGGUUUAGGGGAUUAGCGUUCCCUCUCGGGAUAGCAUCCCAUUGUCCCGGCCAUUGUAGCCCGCGUGUUGCCCGGCACAUUCGGGGCAUACUGACCUACCGUUGCCCGUUCCUUCCUCCGCUUUAGCAGCGGCAGUCUCCCUAGUGUACCCAACCACCAAUGGCGUUGCUGGCAACUAAGGAUGCGGGUCUCGCUCGUUGCCUGACUUAACAGGACGCCUCACGGUACGAGCUGACGGCGGCCAUGCACCUCCUCUCAACAGCUCGAGUAAGGUCAUCAACCUGACCGUCAUUACUGUUGUCGGUGCCGGUGAGAUGUCCGGCGUUGAGUCCAAUUAAACCGCAGGCUCCUCCGGUUGUAGUGCUCCCCCGCCAAUUCCUUUAAGUUUCAUCCUUGCGGACGUACUUCCCAGGCGGUCUGCUUCACGGCUUCCCUGCGGCACAGCGCAGGCUCGUAGCCUGCGCCACACCUAGCAGACAUUGUUUACGGCCAGGACUACCCGGGUAUCUAAUCCGGUUCGAGACCCUGGCUUUCGUUCCUCACCGUCGGGUCCGUCCUCUCGAGGCGCUUUCGCCACCGGUGGUCCGUCCAGGAUUACGGGAUUUCACUCCUACCCCGGACGUACCCCUCGAGUCCUCCGGCCCCAAGCCAGUCAGUUUCCGCUGGACGCCCACGCGUUGAGCGCGUGGAUUUCCCAACAGACUUGACUGGCCGGCUACGAACGCUUUAGGCCCAAUAAUAUCGGCCAUCACUCGGGCUGCCGGUAUUACCGCGGCGGCUGGCACCGGUCUUGCCCAGCCCUUAUUCUUGCAUCUCCUUACGAUCCAGAAAAGCGAGGACUGUAUGCCCUCGCACUCGGAAUCCCCCUAUCGCACUGUCGUGCAGUGUAAAGGUUUCGCGCCUGCUGCGCCCCGUAGGGCCCGGUAUCUUGUCUCAGAUACCGUCUCCGGGCUCUGACUCUCAUCACCCGUACCGAUUACUGGCACGGUGGGCCGUUACCCCACCGUCUACCUAAUCGGCCGCAGCCACAUCCUGUGGUGCCGCAGCGCAACCUUUCGGACUUCCUCCACUCCAGGAUGGAAGCCCUAUCGGGGAUUAGCCUCAGUUUCCCGAGAUUAUCCCCGUCCACAGGGUAGUUUGGCCACGUGUUACUGAGCUGUUCGCCACGGGUCUAACCCGUGCGACUAGCAUGGCUAAAUCGGAUUCCGAUAGCAAUGGCCUCCGGCAGGAUCAACCGGAAAGUGUACAAGGAGCAGGGACGUAUUCGCCGCGCGCUACUGACACGCGACUACUACCGAAUCCAGCUUCAUGAGGGCGGGUUGCAGCCCUCAAUCCGAACUACGACCGGGUUUAGGGGAUUAGCGUUCCCUCUCGGGAUAGCAUCCCAUUGUCCCGGCCAUUGUAGCCCGCGUGUUGCCCGGCACAUUCGGGGCAUACUGACCUACCGUUGCCCGUUCCUUCCUCCGCUUUAGCAGCGGCAGUCUCCCUAGUGUACCCAACCACCAAUGGCGUUGCUGGCAACUAAGGAUGCGGGUCUCGCUCGUUGCCUGACUUAACAGGACGCCUCACGGUACGAGCUGACGGCGGCCAUGCACCUCCUCUCAACAGCUCGAGUAAGGUCAUCAACCUGACCGUCAUUACUGUUGUCGGUGCCGGUGAGAUGUCCGGCGUUGAGUCCAAUUAAACCGCAGGCUCCUCCGGUUGUAGUGCUCCCCCGCCAAUUCCUUUAAGUUUCAUCCUUGCGGACGUACUUCCCAGGCGGUCUGCUUCACGGCUUCCCUGCGGCACAGCGCAGGCUCGUAGCCUGCGCCACACCUAGCAGACAUUGUUUACGGCCAGGACUACCCGGGUAUCUAAUCCGGUUCGAGACCCUGGCUUUCGUUCCUCACCGUCGGGUCCGUCCUCUCGAGGCGCUUUCGCCACCGGUGGUCCGUCCAGGAUUACGGGAUUUCACUCCUACCCCGGACGUACCCCUCGAGUCCUCCGGCCCCAAGCCAGUCAGUUUCCGCUGGACGCCCACGCGUUGAGCGCGUGGAUUUCCCAACAGACUUGACUGGCCGGCUACGAACGCUUUAGGCCCAAUAAUAUCGGCCAUCACUCGGGCUGCCGGUAUUACCGCGGCGGCUGGCACCGGUCUUGCCCAGCCCUUAUUCUUGCAUCUCCUUACGAUCCAGAAAAGCGAGGACUGUAUGCCCUCGCACUCGGAAUCCCCCUAUCGCACUGUCGUGCAGUGUAAAGGUUUCGCGCCUGCUGCGCCCCGUAGGGCCCGGUAUCUUGUCUCAGAUACCGUCUCCGGGCUCUGACUCUCAUCACCCGUACCGAUUACUGGCACGGUGGGCCGUUACCCCACCGUCUACCUAAUCGGCCGCAGCCACAUCCUGUGGUGCCGCAGCGCAACCUUUCGGACUUCCUCCACUCCAGGAUGGAAGCCCUAUCGGGGAUUAGCCUCAGUUUCCCGAGAUUAUCCCCGUCCACAGGGUAGUUUGGCCACGUGUUACUGAGCUGUUCGCCACGGGUCUAACCCGUGCGACUAGCAUGGCUAAAUCGGAUUCCGAUAGCAAUGGCCUCCGGCAGGAUCAACCGGAAA
rnacentral:rRNA from 1 species